rnacentral:sRNA from 1 species
GCUGGGCAUGGUGGCUCACACCUAUAAUCCCAGCAACUCAGGAGGUUGAGGCAGGAGGAUUGCAAGUUCAAAGCCAGCCUCAGCAAAUUAGUGAGGCAACAUAGUGAGACCCUGUCUUAA